AGUCGUUUUAGAUGAUAGGGGUUUUGAAUCGAUAAUCGGAACAAUUAAAGUUGAUCUAGAGUAAUUAAAGUAUCUAGAAAUUAAAUUUUUUGAAUUUUAGAAAUUAUUUACAUAGUGUUCAAAAAUUCACAAAAUCGACAGUUUUUGACGACCUAUAUGAGCCAUUUGCUUGUUUAAUGGUGUAGAACAAUCUAAACAGCUUAAAUUUUUGAUCAAAUUUUUUUAUACAAUUUAAAUAACGUUUGAUAAUUCCAAUCAUGAAUUAAAAAAAGUCUAAAAUCUAUUUUCAUAUGGUUAUUCGUUUUUAACCGUUUAUUUUUCGACUUUUCAAUGAACUUGAUAGCAAACUUUAAAAUUUAUGAAAUUUAAUUUCUAGACAUUAUAAAUAUAUACUCUAGAUCAACUUUAAUUGUUUCAAUCAUUAAUUCGGAAUCUCUAUCAUUUAAAACGAUUUAGGAGGAUGAAAAUUUUUGUCCUCUUAAAAGAAUAGUAGCUAGACUCUCUCUCUUUCUCUUUGUAU
rnacentral:lncRNA from 1 species